CCCUCCAAACCGUAUAUGCAACCGAAUGGCCACAAUCUAGGCCAUCACUGCCUAUGCCAUACUGCUGAUGCUCCAGUCAUCAGCAGACGUUUGCGUGUAUGAAUAACCCAAAGAUACUUUUAAAAACUCUUUCGGUAUCUGUAACGGGCCCUUCGUUUCUUUUAUUGCCGCAUUCUUCGAUAUGUGGAAAACGACAUCUUUAGUUCAUACAUGUCUCAUAUUUGUGUUGAAACGAAAGAAGUUGUCCCAACGCAUCAAUUCGAUGUGAGCCCGUGAUGUCAACAGCUUCUUGCCUGUGGAGAGUAAAGAAGUGGAAAUUUUCAGGAAGACAUGCAGAGAUAUUUCGUGGAUGUCUGAUCUCUACGAAUGAACUGUGCCCCGUUAAAUUGCCAAGGCCACGAAUAACUAGUUUUGGUCCGACCAUUGAAGUGCAUCAAAGAAUCAUGUCAUCGGUUGAAUUUGCAAAACGCGUUGCUGCCGUCAAAGCAGUUGAUGAAUAUGUUAAGGAUAACUACAAAAUUGGUGUUGGAAGUGGUUCUACAAUUGUGUAUGCUGUUGAGAGGUUAGCACAACGAGUGAAAGAUGAAAACCUUCAUAUUGUGUGUGUUCCAACAUCAUAUCAAGCAAGACAGCUCAUCGUGAACCACAAGCUUCAAUUAGGAGAUUUGGAUAUGUAUCCCAAGUUGGAUUGUGCCAUUGAUGGUGCAGAUGAAGUGGAUGCCAAUAUGACACUUAUAAAAGGAGGAGGAGGAUGUCUCACACAAGAAAAGAUUGUAGCUUCUUGUGCAAAGCAACUAAUCAUUGUUGGAGAUGAAUCGAAGGAGUCCCAUAAACUUGGUGAAAAAUAUAAGAAGGGUAUUCCAGUAGAGGUUAUCCCCAUGGCUUACUGCCCUGUGCAGCAGAAGAUUGAAGCAUUGUAUGGAGGUGUGGCGGAACUUCGAAUGGGAAAGAUGAAAGCUGGACCUCUAGUCACUGAUAAUGGUAACUUUAUUUUGGACUGGAAAUUUCCAGCUUCAGACUUUGACUGGGCUUCUGUCAACACUGUCAUUAAAAUGAUCCCUGGUGUGGUGGAGACAGGCUUGUUUGUUAACAUGGUCACCAAAGUGUUUUAUGGUACUGCCGAUGGAACAGUGAAGGAACAGAAGAUAUAAUCCUUUAUCAGGAUUAUUUUAUUACAGGAAAGUUGCAUGCCUUGGAAUGAAUUACCAACUGCAUGAAAAUUCCAAAAGAAACCAAGUCAGUUAAUGGUAAAUCAUAAUUUGAGAGAGAAAAUAAGAGAUGGAUGGAAUGAGAGAACCCACAACAGAAGAAAGAGAGGUUUAUAGCUUGAAGAAGAAGAAGAGAUAAGCUGAUGAUGUGACAUAUUAAUGACGGUUAUAGCGUACAGCUUGAUUCGGGGUGUGAUGCUGACCACUCACCCCCAUCUAGUGCUGACAUCAAGAACAACUAGGAGCUAUACCUCCUCUCCCAAGUGCCUAUAUGGCAUAUAGCGGGGCAGCCUUACUUACAGCUUGAUUAAGACAACAGUAAGAUACACAUUUCUCCCCUUGUUUAUAUAUUUGGCCACAAAAAUCAGGAAACAAAGUAGCAAGAAAUUGAAUCACUAAAAACACUGCAUGAUAAAAAUGUAACUUUUGUCAAGUUUUUGUUUUCAGAAUACUUUUUUUCCUUAAUAAAUAAUGGCAGAAACCUAAAUCAAAACUAAAACUGUGAUAACAAGAAAACAGUGGCCCUGUUGUUGAGUUUGCUUUUACAGCAGAGUACAAAAAAAAAAUGAAAUUCCACAUGGCCAUGUUGCAAAUGGAGUCAUUUGAUAGGACAAUUAUAAAAUCCAUGGAAUUCCCUCCUACAGUAUGCUGUAAACAUACCCAUUUUUUCCCAAAAGAAAUCCAGCUGGAAUAUGAACUUCUCGAAAUGUAUUGUCAUCGACCAUUUCUAUGUAAAAUUCAUCACUUUCGGGAUCUUGAUUUGUAACUAUUAUUGCUCGUGCUCCAACUUCCUCUGCUUUUACAGUUUUACUCAAGAAUGAACACUCCCUAAAACACAAAGAAACUUAUAUUUUUUUAAAGCCAUUUAUAACACAUUACAGUUUUACUUAUAUUAAUUAUCCACAUAUUUUAUGCCAUAAUUUCUUUCUUAAAACCCUGAAUCCUUUACCAAACACUAAAAUUAAUAGCAACCAACAUGGAAUGGAAGACCCAUCAAACAUUUCUUUUUCCACUUGGUGUCCUUUACCUACACACAUCACAUUAACAUCAGCCCUUUGGGUUUUAUACUUUAAUGUUAAUAGAAUGAAUUCAAUGAGCCACCAAUGAAUAGAAUAAAUCACUCUAUCCACUUGUAUGUCCGUCUGUCUGUCUGUCUCUACAUGUGAAACAACAAAAAUUUGAUUAAAUUUGAUUUUGGAGAAUGUUAAAAAAACAGUUUUGGGCCAUUUAAAUCUUCACUUAGAUGGGGCAAUUAUAAUUACUUUUUAGGUUAUUUCAUCGAGCAGGUCUGCACAACUUUAAAGUACAUGUGGGACAAAAUGUAAAUUACAGAAGUGCUUUGGGCCGCAGUCUCAUGUUUCCUGUAUGAUAAUUACAUUAGUUAAAAGUAUGUGAAUAUUAUGCAUUAUGUAUAAAUAAAUACAUUGAUGUGUGAUA